UCGGGAAUUUUGGGCAAUGGGCGAAAGCCUGACCCAGCAACGCCGCGUGAAGGAUGAAGUAUUUCGGUAUGUAAACUUCGAAAGAAUAGGAAGAAUAAAUGACGGUACUAUUUAUAAGGUCCGGCUAACUACGUGCCAGCAGCCGCGAUAAUACGUAGGGACCAAGCGUUGUUCGGAUUUACUGGGCGUAAAGGGCGCGUAGGCGGCAAUUCAAGUCAUCUGUGAAAUCUCCGGGCUUAACUCGGAACGGUCAGAUGAUACUGCUUUGCUAGAGUGCAGAAGGGGCAAUCGGAAUUCUUGGUGUAGCGGUGAAAUGCGUAGAUAUCAAGAGGAACACCUGAGGUGAAGACGGGUUGCUGGGCUGACACUGACGCUGAGGCGCGAAAGCCAGGGGAGCAAACGGGAUUAGAUACCCAUGUAGUCCCUGAGCGGGCUGGCAAGGCGCAU
rnacentral:rRNA from 1 species